rnacentral:rRNA from 2 species
UACGGAGGGAGCUAGCGUUGUUCGGAAAUACUGGGCGUAAAGCGCACGUAGGCGGCGCCGUAAGUCAGGGGUGAAAUCCCGGGGCUCAACCCCGGAACUGCCCUUGAAACUGCAGUGCUAGAAUCUUGGAGAGGUCAGUGGAAUUCCGAGUGUAGAGGUGAAAUUCGUAGAUAUUCGGAAGAACACCAGUGGCGAAGGCGACUGACUGGACAAGUAUUGACGCUGAGGUGCGAAAGCGUGGGGAGCAAACAGG